UUGAAAACAAUAAUAUUGUUGCAGGUAGGUGUAAGUGGAGAAGAUACUAAGUAGAGACUACUGGUAGAGACGGUGAGCUACUGAAGCAGGAGAGCGCUGACUUCCUGGAGACCUGAGCAAGGAGGAGGGACAGCCAUGCGAAGAUCUGCGGAAGGAGUAGUCCAGGCAGAGGGUUCUGAUCCACAGCAGUCCUGGCCAGUGUGAGGGGCAGAUGGAAGGCACAGCAGAUGGCAGAGGACAAAAGGAGAUGUCUUGGACUGCCACGGUUAUAAGUAACAGAAAUCCACGGAAGCUACUAGGGCAAAAAAGGGAAGAUACAUCCUAAGGACUCAGCUCUGAGACCCCAAGAAGCAAGAAAUAUGGCUUUGGCAAAGUCUAGAAACAGCUCUACAAAGCCACCAGGGGGAGAAGACCCUCAGAAUGCCAUCUGAGAAAGCCAGGCUGCUGCCUCCAUCCCUGUCUGCUCUGGGCACAUCGGUAUUCAUAGACAUCCACUGAGGGACCACACAGAGCCUCCCCUUCCCACACCUCCUCUCUGCUAAUUCAGCUCUGACUUACUUGCAUCUGUUUUGCUGGCAACUUCAUGGGAGCUAAAAGGAAGCAUCAAGGAAAAGAGGAGAAAAAGCUGCCAGAGGCUUUCCUGU